ACACGACUACAUUAGAUACCCGGGUAGUCCCCAGCCGUAAACUAUGCGCGUUAGGUGUAUCGGUGACCACCGAGUCACCGAGGUGCCGAAGGGAAACCGUGAAACGUGCCGCCUGGGAAGUACGGUCGCAAGGCUGAAACUUAAAGGAAUUGGCGGGGGAGCACCACCAACGGGUGGAGCCUGCGGUUUAAUUGGACUCAACGCCGGGAAGCUCACCGGAUAAGACAGCGGAAUGAUUGCCGGGCUGAAGACUCUGCAUGACUAGCUG
rnacentral:rRNA from 1 species